CCAUUUCAAAAUAGGUUAUAUGGAACUUUUUUUCUACACUCAAAAAGGCUCCAUAAUCUCUAUGGUGGGUUUACCCACUACAGUCUUAUGGAGC
rnacentral:ncRNA from 1 species